AGGACGACGCUGGCGGCGUGCCUAACACAUGCAAGUCGAACGGGGGUAGAGAGCUUCGGUUCUCUGCUUAGUGGCGAACGGGUGAGUAACGCGUGAGGAACCUGCCUUCCAGUGGGGGACAACAGUUGGAAACGACUGCUAAUACCGCAUAACGCAGCUAGAUCGCAUGAUCUUACUGCCAAAGCUUUAUGUGCUGGAAGAUGGCCUCGCGUCUGAUUAGCUAGUUGGUGAGGUAACGGCUCACCAAGUCGACGAUCAGUAGCCGAACUGAGAGGUUGAUCGGCCACAUUGGGACUGAGACACGGCCCAGACUCCUACGGGAGGCAGCAGGUGGGGAAUAUUGCGCAAUGGGGGCAACCCUGACGCAGCAACGCCGCGUGAAGGAUGAAGGUCUUCGGAUUGUAAACUUUUGUCUUAUGGGAAGAACACAAUGACGGUACCAUAGGAGGAAGCCACGGCUAACUACGUG
rnacentral:rRNA from 1 species